CAAAGUGGAUCCCACAUGAAGUCUUUCACUAUGUGCUCCCACCCACUUCUCGACUAGCCAGAGUCCAGGUCCACCCACUUCUCGACUACCCAAAGGCCAGAGACUGCCCCUUCCUUACCUACUGGCCUUCCCAAAGAUGUGGACAUAUGACCCAGGCUGGACAGCUAGAAGUCUCCAUCUUCUGAACAAGGCCUUAUGUUUUCUAAAAACACAAUGACAGAUGGGGAAACAAUCCAGCAUGAGCAGCUCACCAACAGAUGCAAAAGUGCACUUUGUGAGACCUGGUUACAUUUUGCUCAGAGAAAUCUUUAAGCUCCCUUGAUUGCUAUUUUCAAAUGUUUGUAAGGAAAAUGUAGGUGAUGGAGCAGCAGACUUAUUUCAGAAGAAAUAAGUGGCCAAUGGGUGAAUCUUGCAGGAAGUUGGACUUAGCACUGCAUAAGCACUAACCUUCAAAGGAAUUGACUGUUGGGAACUACAGCAAGCUUUCUUUACCUGGGAGUGUGCAUCUACAGAGACGUACUCAGUGCCCGAGAGGUGACCCUCUGCAUGGAAGAGUUUAACUUAUUUGAAAUGUAGCCCUCUCUUAAUGACUGUCAGCAGGUUCCAGGAUUUCUUAGAGGUCCAGAAGUGUUGAAAAUAACUGGAGUUGUCAAGAAUAGAAAUAAGAGAGAGGAGGAUAUGAGGAAGAUGGGAUUAGCAUUAGAGAAACUCUGAAAUCUGUUAAAUGGUCUUUCUAGAACCUCCAUUUCCUCUUUCUUGACCAGUGAUAUACUCUCCCCAUCCUCCAUGCUAUUGUCUUGUACCACUUUCAAAAUACUCCUUAAUUAAAGGGUUAGUAAUAAUUCAUACUAACAAGUAAGUGACUUAGAGAAAUCCACAGUCUUUUCUGCCUAGAGCCAUUGCUUACCAGUAAAUGAUAAAAGCUAACUAAUAGACUAUAAAGUCAAGUUAUUAACCAUUUGCAGGGGAGAGAUGAAGUGUUACGUUUGGGGGUACGUAUACUAAAGGUUGAUGACAAAUAACAGAAAUGGCCUCUAACUAACUUCAGCACAAAAUGAAUCCAUUUGAAGAACACUGGGGAAGCUCACCGAAAUGAGGAUCAUCAACCAUGCCUCAGGAAAGACAUGAACCAGGGAAGCCCUGGGGACUGGGAAGUAAGAACAGGUGAACCUUCUCUACCAUGGCUGCUGCCAGGAAACUCAGCUCUAACUGCUGUCCUUUGCCACCAUAUCUGUGUAUGUCAACUUAAUAUUCAAAUUCCCAAAAGACAGAAGAUGAUGGUGGAUCUUGGGUCCUGUGACUACCUUGGGGGCUAGAAGAGAAGAGUCUGAUGCCAGGUGCUGGUAGAAGCGUGAAGGUAAGACAACCAGAUGUAGGAAAAGUCAUAAAAGAGGGACGGAAAUUCUUCCCAGCAACCUGAGAUCACAUCACACAAGUGAAGUUUUGAGAGUUGCCUCAUGUCACCAACAAGUCCAAUCCCAUCACCAUUAUGCUCAGAGCCCUUGAGUGCCUCCCAGGUUCCAACAGGUGAAGCCCAAAUUCCAUAGCAGGUAUCCAUGACCCAUGCGCUCUUGCCCUUGACCACUUCACUGGCCAAAUGACCACUGAGUGGCCCUUCUGAUUGACAGCCCAGCCACAGUGCACCAGUGAGCAUUCCUAGUCCUAGCGCCCCUCUCCAUGCAGCAUCCUUCUGACUCUUGACGGCUUUGAGAGUACCUAUUUGCCUUCACAGAUGACGGAACAAGGUAACUGGCCGCAUCCACAAAGUACCUGCUCUGUUUGGUAUUUUCACUGACUCUGGUUUUAUUUUUGAGGUUUACAGUAUUAUGGAAUGUAUUUCCCAUGAGCCACCUCAUAUCUUUGAUGGUAUGAGGCAGGAUGUAAACAGGUAGGGCCCUUUGGAGCAUCAGAGCUGGGUCAGAAGUCAGGGCGAUCUCCCUCUCCUUCCCUCCACUUCCAGGUUAGAGUAAAUGCAGCUUCAAGUUACCUGCCACAUAGUAGGUGCUCGAUAAAUACUUACUUGGUAAUCUACUGAGAGAAGAGGGCUUUUACUCCUUAUGACCAAUGACCGGGGCCAGAUCCAGGUCUCGGGGGUCUGAGGCUUACUCAGUUUGCCUGGCCCUCUAGGGAAAAUAAUAUGAAGAUA